GAAAAUGUAGGAGUGGCGCGACUGAUGUUUACAACACGGGGAACAGAGAAUGCCAGCUUCAUUGCUGGAAAGAGUGUGCACAAUCAGAGGAUUGAGCGCCUUUGGCGGGAUGUUCGAAUGUGUGCCACUGGAGUGUAUUAUGACAUUCUACAUCAUCUUGAGGACUGUGGAUAUCUUGAUAUAAGCAACUUCACCCACCUCUUUUGCUGUCAUUAUGUUUUUUUACCACGCAUACAGGCCAGCCUGGAUGCUUUCAGAGAUGCUUAGGAUAACCAUUCCCUGAGGACAGAGAACAACCUGACCCCAAAUCAGCUAUGGGAGGUCGGGCAGUAUCAGAAUCCAAUAAGUGAUCCUGAGAUACAGCUUUCAGACUCUGCUGAACAAGAAAGUGGAGAUUCUGAAGAGGAUCACUUCGGAGUCAAUGUGCCUGCAAUACCUUUGUUGCAACUCACAAAUGAGCAAAUUGAGCAGCUUACAUCACACAUAUACC